UACUCUGCAGAAGACAGCAUUCUACCCAAGAGACAUAGAGUUUCCUGAACGCAUGAGUGAGGGAGCAGGCUAUGCACCCGAGGACAAAGCAGCACACUGUUCGGUCAGAAAGCCGCGCAAGUCGGGAGCCAGUCUGGAGCAAGAGUGAAGGAGACAGGUCCAAAGCCGGAAAACCUCAUCAUCAUCUCAGCAGGCGGGAGGAGGACCGUUCCCUCCUUGCUCUGGGCCUGCACGUCCUGGCCCACCCAGCCUGAAUGAUCCCCACCGCUGCCACCCUUGAGGAGGUCCUGUAGCCUGGUGGCCAAAUUACAGGUUUAACUUCCUCUUUCCCUAUAAGGGCAUGUCCAGCAAGUACCUGUAAUUCCUUUUCCUGCAAAUGAAGCGUUCAGGCACCUCAGCCCUAGCCAAUGAUACACACUCACCCGGAAAACCCCUAACCACUCCCCAAGGUUUAUGUAGCCCUUAUUCACCCCCUAAUAAACAGAUCUGUUUCUCUGGAAA
rnacentral:lncRNA from 1 species